AACCCCGAAACUACGUGAGCUACCCCGAAACAGCCUAUAAAUUAGGGCCAACCCGUCUCUGUGGCAAAAGAGUGGGAAGAUUUCCGGGUAGAGGUGACAAACCUACCGAACCUAGUUAUAGCUGGUUACCUAAGAAAUGAAUAGAAGUUCAGCCUCACACUCCUUACCUCAAAAAUAAAUUUAAAUCACACGAGACAGAGAAACAUGUGAGAGUUAGUCAAAAGAGGUACAGCUCUUUUGAAAUAGGACACAACCUCACCAGGAGGUUAAAGAUUACAUUAAACAAGAUAAAACCGCUUUAGUGGGCCUAAAAGCAGCCACCAAAACAGAAAGCGUUAAAGCUCUGGCGGAAUAAAAAUCCUUUAUCCAAAUAUAUUAUCUAAAACCCCUAACCUUAUUAGGUCACUCCAUGCCUACAUGGAAGAAAUACUGCUAAAAUGAGUAAUAAGAAAGAAUCCCUUUCUCCUAGCUUACGUGUAUAUUAGAUCGGACCAACCACUAAUAAUUAUCGAACCCAAUAAAAGAGGGUAAUGUGAGCACCUAAAACAUCAAGAAAACCUCACAUGAAAUAAUCGUUAAACCUACACCGGAAAGCCUAUAUAGGAAAGACUAAAAGAAAAGGAAGGAACUCGGCAAACACAUAAGCCUCGCCUGUUUACCAAAAACAUCGCCUCCUGCAAAAAUCAACGUAUAGGAGGUCUUGCCUGCCCAGUGACAAGUUAAACGGCCGCGGUAUUUUGACCGUGCGAAGGUAGCGCAAUCACUUGUCUUUUAAAUGAAGACCUGUAUGAAUGGUGGAACGAGGGCUUAACUGUCUCCCCUUUCAAGUCAAUGAAAUUGAUCUGCCCGUGCAGAAGCGGACAUAAAACUACAAGACGAGAAGACCCUUUGGAGCUUAAGACUUAAGAUCAACUAUGUCAAGAACCUCUAACAAAUUAAACUAAAUAGCAACUGAUCCCUGUCUUCGGUUGGGGCGACCACGGGAGAAAACAAAGCUCCCACGCGGACCGGGAUUAUACCCUAAAACUAAGAGAGACAUCUCUAAGGCACAGAAUUUCUGACCAUAAAGAUCCGGCUCUAUGCCGAUCAACGGACCAAGUUACCCUAGGGAUAACAGCGCAAUCCCCUUUAAGAGUCCAUAUCGACAAGGGGGUUUACGACCUCGAUGUUGGAUCAGGACAUCCUAAUGGUGCA
rnacentral:rRNA from 1 species